GUUAUCCGGAUUUAUUGGGUUUAAAGGGAGCGUAGAUGGAUGUUUAAGUCAGUUGUGAAAGUUUGCGGCUCAACCGUAAAAUUGCAGUUGAUACUGGAUGUCUUGAGUGCAGUUGAGGCAGGCGGAAUUCGUGGUGUAGCGGUGAAAUGCUUAGAUAUCACGAAGAACUCCGAUUGCGAAGGCAGCCUGCUAAGCUGCAACUGACAUUGAGGCUCGAAAGUGUGGGUAUCAAACAGGAUUAGAUACCCUGGUAGUCCACACGGUAAACGAUGAAUACUCGCUGUUUGCGAUAUACGGCAAGCGGCCAAGCGAAAGCGUUAAGUAUUCCACCUGGGGAGUACGCCGGCAACGGUGAAACUCAAAGGAAUUGACGGGGGCCCGCACAAGCGGAGGAACAUGUGGUUUAAUUCGAUGAUACGCGAGGAACCUUACCCGGGCUUAAAUUGCACUCGAAUGAUCCGGAAACGGUUCAGCUAGCAAUAGCGAGUGUGAAGGUGCUGCAUGGUUGUCGUCAGCUCGUGCCGUGAGGUGUCGGCUUAAGUGCCAUAACGAGCGCAACCCUUGUUGUCAGUUACUAACAGGUGAUGCUGAGGACUCUGACAAGACUGCCAUCGUAAGAUGUGAGGAAGGUGGGGAUGACGUCAAAUCAGCACGGCCCUUACGUCCGGGGCUACACACGUGUUACAAUGGGGGGUACAGAGGGCCGCUACCACGCGAGUGGAUGCCAAUCCCUAAAACCCCUCUCAGUUCGGACUGGAGUCUGCAACCCGACUCCACGAAGCUGGAUUCGCUAGUAAUCGCGCAUCAGCCACGGCGCGGUGAAUACGUUCCCGGGCCUUGUACACACCGCCCGUCAAGCCAUGGGAGCCGGGGGUACCUGAAGUGCGUAACCGCGAGGAUCGCCCUAGGGUAAAACUGGUGACUGGGGCUAAGUCUAACCAAGGUAA
rnacentral:rRNA from 1 species